rnacentral:rRNA from 1 species
AUUGAACGCUGGCGGCAGGCCUAACACAUGCAAGUCGAACGAGUGGCGGACGGGUGAGUAAUGUCUGGGAAACUGCCUGAUGGAGGGGGAUAACUACUGGAAACGGUAGCUAAUACCGCAUACCAUCAGAUGUUGCCAGAUUGGCUUAGCUAGUUGGUGGGGUAACGGCUCACCAAGGCGACCAUACCUAGCUGGUCUGAGAGGAUGACCAGACCCACUGGAACUGAGACACGGUCCAGACUUCUACGGGAAGCAGCAGUGGGGAAUAUGGCACAAUGGGAGCAAGCCGGAGGAAGCCAUGCCGCGUGUAUGAAGAAGGCCUUCGGGUUGUAAAGUACUUUCAGCGGGGAGGCGUUACCCGCAGAAGAAGCACCGGCUAACUCCGUGCCAGCAGCCGCGGUAAUAC